GAAGGCUGUGGUAAUUGUUUUUCAACAUACAUUACCUCUUCCUCCUUUUUUCUGCAGGCUGUUGGGGUGGAGAAGAAACCAAGAAUGUUAGUUGUGCAAGCCUCCGAACUGGAAAUGCUUACAAAUACUGUGUAAAGGACAAGGAAAAUCCUAAAUGUGUGGAGUGGCAAUCAGUGGAUUCCAAUAAGACGUCUAUGUGGCUUGCUGAACUUUGCCAACACAAAAACACUAUACAUACACCCAAUGUGAUUGAUGUCAGCUACUCCUGCAUCACCCUCCUGGAGUGUGUCAACGUAGACCACACUGCCAUAAGCAAUGUGACUGUGAGUAUGGCUGCAGUUAUCACUGCAGUUUAGGCAAUGUACAGUUAGUUACCUUGUAAACUACAAUACCAGACCAAACAUUCCAGUUGCAUGUUAAUAAUUUGAUAUUGAUGUUAUCAUAUUUCAGGAGCAUUUGACCCAUUUCGUUGUGUUUGGUGCAUCAGGUGAGAUGUGUAUAUUGCUUUUCAAGUUUGAGGAGCCUCCUUGUUUAAUAGUUUUUUUCUAGU
rnacentral:lncRNA from 1 species